rnacentral:miRNA from 1 species
UAUGAGGUUGGUGCAAAAGUAAUCGCGGCUUUUACUGUUACGGGAAGCCACGGUUACUUUUGCACCAAGCUAUAU